UGAAUCAAUUGGUAGUUAGAUCAUUUAUUGAAGAAAUGGUUCGAAAUCUUGAUUUUGAUGGGAAACCCUUGAAUUGUUGCUGCCAGUUCAAUUGCCCCUUUUUUAAGCUGCUGGAUCUUCGUAUUUGUGGCCGAUUAACCCUAAUCUAUCUGUGUAAGAAUUUAGAUGGAUUAUUACCUGUUGUGGGAAGGAAAUGAUUUGGAUGCCCAUAAAUGUGCUAAUCUUACUUGUUUUUUGAUCUUUUUGUGAUGUUAUUCGAGAUGAUAAUGAAGUAUGUUGUCAAAAUAAGUUCUUACUAGUGUGUAUCUAGCUGGAGAGUCAGUUUGUACUAGUUAAUUGCAAAUUAUGUUGGUUAAUGAUAACUAGAUAUCUCUAGUAAUGGUCCAAUAUUUAGUGAAGAACCUGUAUCCUCUGUGACAAUUAGUUUGAAUGUUAAGAUACUUUAGCAUUUGACAUUCUAUUUUUAUUGAGUUAUCCUUUAAAUUUGUGGGUUAGUUUAGAUGAGAUUCAUGUCAAGAUUAAUGGAAAAUUAUUCUGAUUUUGUUGUGUUAUGGUGCUCCUAAUUUCUUACAUGUAGAUUGAUUGGCUCUCUGUUAUAAUUCCAUCUUUUCCUUUAUGAAAUUGAAAAUAUAUGAUUGGAUUGGAUAGGAAUCAUGAUUGUAUUCAAAAGUAAUUAAUAAUGCAAGUCACAACAUUUUAUAGUUACUGGUUAGGGUUUACAACAGUACUGGAAUUCUUUUGGGCGGAUCAAUAUGAUGCUAUGGCUGGCCCAAACAGGAAGUGACAUUGGUUACUUGUCAGCAGAUGAUGGAGUGAGUAAAUUACAGGAGCAAUUUGAGUGAGGGCUUGGUAUUCAAGAAGACGAUAGUGAUGAUGGGCAGAAUGAGUUCAGUGAAGCAGUGGAGUUUGAGAAUCGUAAAGAUUUUAGUGGAAGGAAUGGAGUGGCCGAAGGAAUGGGACCAGAGGUAAAAGAUGAUGACGACAAUGAUGAUGGUGAUGAGCUGUAUAUUUCUAGCUUCAGGCGGUACUCUUCACUCUGCGGUCGCGAGCAGCUCAACAGUUAUAUAGUUGAAGGACAAGAUACAAGAUUAUAGAGCUUAUAGAGAGGUGUUGGUUUUAAAAGGCAACAAAAGCCCUAUUUUUUUUUUUUUUUGAGUUGGGCUCAAAACAUUAUGUAUGGAUGUUUUGUGAUGUAUAUAAUAUAUGUUAUUGAUGGUUU